CGUAGUAUAGCUUAAUUAAAGCACCUCGCUUACACCGAGAAAAUGUUCGUGAAAACCAAACUACUCCGA
rnacentral:tRNA from 1 species